rnacentral:rRNA from 1 species
AUUGAACGCUGGCGGCAGGCCUAACACAUGCAAGUCGAGCGAGCGGCGGACGGGUGAGUAAUGUCUGGGGACUGCACGCUAGAGGGGGAUAACUACUGGAAACGGUAGCUACUACCACAUAAGAUCGGAUAACACAUUUUGGAUUAGCUAGUUGGUGAGGUAAUGGCUCACCAAGUCGACGAUCCCUAGCUGGUCUGAGAGGAUGAUCAGCCACACGGGGACUGGGACACUGCCCAGACUCCUACGGAGGCAGGAGUGGGAAAUAUUGCGCAAGGGGCACAACCCAGACGUAGCCAAGCCGCGUGAAUGUAAAAGGCCUUCGGGUUGUAAAGUACGUUCGGUAGCGAGGCGUUAACUACAGAAGAAGCACCGGCUAACUCCGUGCCAGCAGCCGCGGUAAUUC